GUCCUCGUCGUCUAGAGGCCUAGGACAUCGGCCUUUCACGCCGACGACACGAGUUCGAAUCUCGUCGAGGACG
rnacentral:tRNA from 1 species